rnacentral:rRNA from 1 species
UACCAGCACCCCCGAGUGGGUCGGGACGAUUAUUGGGGCCUAAAAGCAUCCGUAGCCGGUUUCUACAAGUCUUUCCGUUAAAUCCACCUGCUCAACAGAUGGGCUGCGGGAGGAUACUAUAGAGCUAGGAGGGCGGGGAGAGGCAAGCGGUACUCAGUGGGUAGGGGGUAAAAAUCCCGUUUGAUCCAUUGAAGACCACCAGUGGCGAAGGCGGGCUUGCCCAGAAUGCGCUCGACGGUGAGGGAUGAAAGCUGGGGGGGAGCAAACCGG